rnacentral:lncRNA from 1 species
AUUGAACCAAAUAAGUUAGGCCCAAUUAAACUAAUUUAAACCCAACUAAAUUAGGCUUAAUUAGGCUCAAUAAAAUCCUAAUCAAAUCAGAAAUUGAUUAAGCCCAACCCCUGAUCAAAUCAGGGACCAAACCAUCUCGACGAUUAGGUCAACUCUUAACCUAAUCGGAUCAAACCCAACUGAAUCCAAUUCAAUUGGACUUGAUUCAAAAAUAAUUACUCAAUCAAAUUGAGUUAAUUAAUGAUUAAAUCACUAAUUAAAUCUCUCAUAAAUAUUGAGUCCAAAUCCGAUGGGUAAUCGGGCAUCAGAAUUCAUCGAUAUGUAACCCUGAUCAAAGAGUCCCAAACCAGUGGGACUCUUGACCC